GAGGGACCCCCAGGCCCCAGCCCGCGUCCAUCCACCGCCCGUGGGAAGGCAGAGCAGUGAGCGUCGCAGGCAUCGGCUCCAGCUCCGGCUCCGCCCGCCGCCGCACCGGCCCACCCUCCUCCCCCGAUCCGAUCGCCGAUCACCGGCCCUCGCUUAGCCUCGCCACGCCUCGCGACAAUAUUUGGAACCCCUGUUACCGAUCGCCUCAUGCCGUACCACUGAACGAUCCCACCCCAACACCGUACCCCCGCCGCCUCCUCCGCCGUGCCCACAGUCGCCUCCGCCUUUCGCCUGCUACCCCGUAGAGGCUCUAUAUCCCGAUCGGACUAGGGUGCGGACGAUGGCUAGCAACGCCGACCAGCAUGCUGCCGUUGUCUCGGCUGCCCCGUCCGAUAGCCCGGUUGGGGCGAAGAAGGCUGGGGCGGCGGCCGCCGUCUGGAAACUCCCCGCGGCCGCGGCGGUUCCCGUCGCGGAGGUGGUUGAAAACCCCAUCAUGGACGCACACUCCUGGCCGGCGCUGCCCGGGCUGUCGUCUCCGCCGCCGCCGCCGCCGCCGCAUGCGGGGCCAACAGCCAAAGCGUCACCGAAGGCCGCUUCUCCAGCUCCCACUGGGGCGGCGACGUCGCCCGUCUCUUUGGGCAAUCCUGGCGCGCCGGAUGCUAGCCAUGGUAACGAUGCUCGGGUGCGCAAUCCUGUGGCCCGGCGUGCCCUGGUGAUGCCUGCGGCGGAUGGGCUGGAGAAGAGUGCCCCUGCACCGGAACCGUCCCCUGUUUAUGUGCCUAAUGCCCGGAGCAAUGGUGCAGAUCCUCAUCAGAAUGGACGUCCUGGCUCGCAUCACCAUGGCCGAGGUGGUGGCUAUGGUGGGGGAAACAGGAGGGGUAAUGGUGGAGGUGGGGGGCGUCGCGGGAGUGAGCACCACGGUGGUUUUGAUGGGCAACGGCGCGGAGGUGGCCGCAGAGAUGGCCAUGGACCGGUUCAUCAGCUGCGUGGCCAUCAGCCAACAUACAUUAAGGCUCCUGUUGUAGCAGGAGCACCUCCACCGCCUCCACCAUUUGUUAGCCCCGCUACUCCUCAGACACCACCUUAUGGACCACCUAUGGGCUUCCAUGCAGACAUGUCAGCGCAUGUUUACUAUUUCCCGGCACCCACCUCGGAAGGCAUUCAAGGCCUGCCUUUUGUGCCUCUUCCAGCAAGCCCCCAAGCUGUUCUAAUUGACCCUUCUCGAAAGAACCUUCUGGAGCAGAUAGAAUACUAUUUCAGCGAUGACAAUUUGUGCAAGGACCUUUACUUGCGGCAACACAUGGAUGGGCAAGGUUGGGUGCCAUUAUCCCUGAUCGCUGGCUUUCGCCAAGUCCAGAAAAUUACUAAUAAUAUUCAGUUUAUCUUGGAAACAGUCAUGCUAUCUAACAUUGUGGAAGUGCAGGUAAUGUUUUCUUUGUACAAUUAUUGUUAUAUGAUUUCUAAUAUGAUUCCGUUUGGCCAAAAAACAUAUAGGUUAUUCACUAACCAUAUAUGUUUCCAUUAACAUUGCAUAUUAUUUGUAGAAAAAUCAUGGUUCAGACCAUUCUCAUUAUCAUCUGUUAGUGUGAGUUCACCAAUUAUUUAUUAUUGAUUCAGGUAAGCGUAGUUUGUUAAGCAGAUAUGCUUACUGGUUAGACAAUGGCAUAGAUAUUAGGCGAUGUUUGAUUCAACAAAUGGCAAUGACAAUGCAAAGGGAAUGAAUACCAGUGGUAGUGGGAAGGGAAGCUUUGAUUGUUUGUUUUGUUUGAUUGAGUAUCGGAUGCCUAAAUCAUUCCAUUGAUCUGUUACACCUCAAAAUUGAGCGCAACCUGGUUUCUGAAGCAUGUGGACACAUUGCCCUGGCACCAAGAUACGUCGGGCAUUAAACAAACACAAGUGGUUGACAGUGGAAUCUGAUCACGCCAAUAAAUGGCCGAACCAAACAGCACCUUAGCUUCUUGUUAUAGACCUAGAGCUCAUUUUUAUCUGAUAUGAUACCUAUAAACCAACAGAGUCUAUAUCAUUUUAUUGCUUGUGAAAACAUACUCUUUUCCUAGUAUGACCAUGGAAAAUUUAGUACGAAACUGAUUCAACAAGGAUCUACUGAGCUUACAGGUUUUUGUUGUUCCUUGAGUGUAUAUAUUCUUUCAGUUUUAGGUAGGCAGCAGGUGUGACCGCCCCACAAAAUCAUCUUUGUGGCUCAUGUGGACUAGCUGCAAUAUUUUUGCGGGUCCGACCACCAAGCCCAGUGGAGUCCACCUCGGUCCUCCAGAUAACUCUAUCCAUCUGUGCGUGAGCCACAAAGAAAUCCGUUUUGCCAUCUCCAUGACGAACUGCAGGCAGUGGCAUGCCGAUCCUGAUGCCAGGCUUCACAUCUGUGGCACCCGCAACUUGUGAUCUCCUUUCUCGAAAGUGAUACCCCAGAUCAUGACAUUCAGGCAGGCAAUCUACUUGAUCAUGACAUUUAGGCAGGCAAUCUACUACUACACGGUGUUCUGGAACUUGGAAAUACGAUCUAUUUGUUCUAAUCCUCAUCUUACCUGUGAAGCAAAUGAUUCAAUUUAUAAAUUUAUUGUUGUGGUCUGCCCUAUAUUUCUUGUUGGUUUUGAUGAAUCUGAUUUGCCGAAGGGUACAAGUUUGUGCGGACAGCACUCUGUUUCUGCUUGCCAUGCUAGUUAUAGGGAGACAAGCUACGGAGGCGUGGAGCAUGGGAGAAUUGGUUGCUUCCAAAACUGAACUAUUCUGCUGGGAGUUCUUCUGGUUCGAUGACCCCUGUGACAUCUAACAUUGAUGCUCUUGCAUCUCAGUUUCGUUCUGUUGGACUUGAGGGGGCAACGUACCAUCCAAGCAUGCCUGGGAUGUCUGGUGAAGCUCUCCUGACAAGAUCAGCAACUUCAGUUAGUCUAGGUUACCAUGCAUCAACCUUCGGUGGGCUACAGAGCAAUGGGAGUGAACCUCUCUUUGGGCCGAAGUCUGCAAGAAAUCUACUCAGGAGCGAUACCUUUUGAGGCUAUAUAUUCAAGAGAAGUUAAGUACAAUGGCAGGCCGAGUUUUCACAGUAACGGCAUGCACACCUUAUCUCAGGUGAGAUGUAAAAACAGCUGUUAAAUAAAACCAAAAAAGGCAAAAGCAUAAUACAAAAAAAAAGCAUACACAAAGACAAAAAAAUACAAAAUGCAAAAACAAAAAUAAAAAGAGCAUAGGCAGCUUUUGUGCUAGUACUCCUGUCCUUUGUGUUAUGUGGUAUAUUACCUAGUAGGUUUGUUUUCUAAUGCUAGGAGUUUGAUGGCUCUUCUGUGUGAACCGAGUUAUUUAAGUGUUAUGGAUGGUACCAUUGGGAAACUGUUGAGUGGACGACGUUAUAUAAAAGUACAUGAAAACAUUGUUAAUUAUGCUGCU